rnacentral:misc_RNA from 1 species
GAUGAAGAACGCAGCGAAAUGCGAUAAGUAAUGUGAAUUGCAGAAUUCAGUGAAUCAUCGAAUCUUUGAACGCACAUUGCGCCCGCUAGUAUUCUGGCGGGCAUGCCUGUCCGAGCGUCAUUUCAACCCUCAAGCCCCCGGGCUUGGUGUUGGGGAUCGGCGAGCCUCCGCGCCCGCCGUCCCCUAAAUCUAGUGGCGGUCUCGCUGUAGCUUCCUCUGCGUAGUAGCACACCUCGCACUGGGAAACAGCGCGGCCACGCCAUUAAACCCCCAACUUCUGAACGUUUGACCUCGGAUCAGGUAGGAAUACCCGCUGAACUUAAGCAUAUCAAUAAGCGGAGGA